CUUAGGCAUCUCUGGUAAAUUGAAUCUGUUUUUUUUUUUUUUUUUACCAGCAUUAUACCCCUCCUCCCAGCCCUAUCCUUAUCUGUUGUCAUUCCUUGUGCUAUAUCUAAUUUAAAUUAUAAUCUUUGGGGCAAAGGUUGUUAUUUAGUAAUCACCUCUAAACUGCCAUACAUACCUGUGGUACUGUAUAAACAAUAAUACAUUUCUACCGUCAAUGGGAAAAAAUCCUUCUAUCUGAUCCGUUAGGCAGACCUCAGCCCAACUAUUCCGCUCUCCCUACUGUUCAGAGUUGCAGCCUUCCCCAGAGCACAGCAUUAAAUCAAGAAUUACCAGGCAGCUCCGAGAAGAGAACUUUGCCCUUUGAUUGCUUUCCAAAGAAAUGUCCUCAAUUCCUUUCUCUGAUAGAUAAACGUUGUGGAUCAUACUAACAAAUUUUCCCAAGCCUUUUGACCCCUCCCCCAGUAGUUAAUGAAUUUGUACUAUUGAUUGGGAGACCCGUAGAGAAUUACUACAUUUUCCAGAUUUAGCAAGUGAGUGAACAAAACCAAAAUAACCUACGUACUGCAUUAAAAGAAGCACUUUGUUCAUUUACUAGAAAAAAAUGGGACUUGGGAUGUUUGUAAUAUUUCACAGUAUGUUAGCUAAUUCUCUGCACAAUGUUUUACCGAAGUAAUGCAACCUAGCAGCAUUGUUUUACUACCUCACCCGGGGCCCAAUAUUGAUUUCAGUGGGAGUCGAGAGUACGAGGCAUCUUGCAAGACCAGAGCCUCUGCUACUAAAUCAGGGUCGAUACUGAGUGAGCCUGCCAUGGCAUUUGUCACAACUAGUGAUUCUUUGAAUUAACAAAGUGAGAAACAGUGAGUCCACUGUAAUUUUGUUACUACUCACAAUUACACAAAUGUAUGCCAAUUCCUACAUUUUGUAACAUCAGCUACAGCUGGUUGGAAAAAUAAGAAUAUGUUUCUUACACACACACACACACACACACACACACACACACACACACACAAAGAUCAUUUCAUCAGCAUUUUUUUGACUUGAUAUUAAAAACAAAAAGUCACCCUGGUAUUUUUUUUUAGUUGAGGUUUCAACAAAAUAUAUUGCCAAAAAUCUAUAUUCUGAAACAUUUCAAGCAGCUCUAAUGGCAACAGGUUGUUCCAAUUUGCAGCAAAACAUUACAAAAGCAAAGAGUAUUAAAAAUAUAUCUUGUGAGGAGAAAAGCCUCAGCUGGUAUAAAGAGUUAUAGCUCUACAAAACUCAAUGGACAUAUGCCAUUUUACAUUAACAGGACCUGGCCCUGUGUACUUUCUCUCUUCCAGUCAACUCCAGUUUUCCAUGUAUAAUAUAAAUAUAGGGCCAGAUUUUCCAUUGAAGUCAAUGGAUAACACUGAUUUACCCUAACAGGAUCUGGUCCUUUGGAUAAUGUUAUAUGAAGACAUGGUCAUGUUUUAUCAACAUUUUUGUUGAUUGUCAUAGACAUUUAAACUAAUGGGCCAGAUUCUGAAGAGGUGUUUUUGUUGUUGUUGUUGAUUGGUGGGUGUUGGUUUUUAAAAAAAUCUCUACGCAAGCAAAAUCUCCAUUGAAUUCAAUGAGUUUUAGCUGAGUAUAAACAGAACUUCAGGAUUCGGUCCAUCAAUUUAAAUCAGAAAUUCUAGUAUACUAUUUCCAAGUUUCUGUUCUACACUCAGGAUUGGAAAUGUACAUGUUUUUGUAUCAGUGAGAAACAUUUUGAUAUGAAAGAACUUACAUUAUUCCUGUGCUUUGUGUCAACAAUCAGGAGCGAACCUUUGGAUUUAUUAAUUCCUAAUCAUUCACCUAUCUUACAUCAUUAUAAUAUAAUGAAAUAGAACUUUGUAUGGUGCAUUGUCAAUAAAAUCUAAUAUUGAAAAGAGUACUGAUCAUCUAGUGCAAAUGGAAAGCACAGUAAAUGAUUUAGAGAAUGUGUCAAACAUUAAAGCUAUCUAAUACCUUCUAAAGUAGAUUGAUACCCAUAAAUCUAAGAUAAAUGACCUGUAAAAUUACUUAAGAAGAAAUAAUGCUCAUUUAAUCAGGCUUCUAGAGAAAAGAGGGGAAAGGUUGGAGAGAAACUCAUAAAGAAUUAUUAAAUCCCUUCAAAUUCAAUACUUAGCAGAUCACAGAGAGCAAAUGUCUCUCCAAGCCCAGACCAGAUAAGCAGUUUUAAGGCAGCCCACCUGAACCUGUCUUUGUGAAAGGACUAAAUUACAAACACCACUGAAAAAAAUCACUGAUUGCCCAUCUCUACUGAUUUUACAGCUCUGCUGAACAUUUUCUUUUCCAGAUUCAGCACUGUGUGUAUCAGAGCAUGAUGCAAGGUGCAUUUAUUUGAUUUAGCAUUUGGUUGAGUCCAGGGGUGGGAUGUCAGCUUGAUUUCUGGCUUUUUGACUGUAAAUAUUUUUCUACUGGUAGAAGUGAUAGCUUAGUUUAAUGCUCUCCAUUGACCAUUCAUGGAAGGAAGAGGGGCUAAUUUUAUACUGAAAGGAACAUUUGUAUGAAAAUCAAUUAAAAAUUGUAAUGGUGUUCUCUGCACUUUAAACUGACAAUUCUGCUUCCCAUUCUGCUGAUGAGAUUAACUUUACUUUUCAAAUCCAUUUUAGAGUUUGAGUAAUGCGGAUGACAGGAAAAUUUGGCCAUUUUUUUUCACUGCGAAGUAAAGGCCUGAUUAUUCAAUUGCUGCCCACUCAAAACUGCAACUGAUUUCAAUGGGACUUUUGUUGGCUCAUUGUUUGCAAGAUGAAGGCAAUGUAAAUCCAGAGAAUUUCCACUGAAACACCAAUCUGAGAGUAAAUUUGGCCAUAUAUGUUAAAGGAGGCACCGUACCGAAUGGCCAUGAAUGAGUGCAGAGAAAAUUCCACAUGCACUUCAAUCUUCCUGGAGGAGCUCAAGACAGCAGCACCCACCAGGUGUUUCCUCCUUUGUACUGUGCAGUGGGGAGGCAGAGAAAGGAGGCAAGAAGAGCAGCUGACAAUAGGAGGAGCAGUGGUGGUGCUGAUCAGAGAGGACAAUCCCAUGCAGCAAAUUAUCCCCAUCCAAGCCUUUGAAGGGGAAGAAGCAGAUCUGCUGCUGCAAAUCCACCUAUCCCUAAGAUGGGAAGUGGGGAGCAGAGGAUAUAAUAUCCUUGGGGACCAUUACUUUUUGGGACUACCACUGAGGUGUUGCAUCCCCUCUCUUUUUCUAUGCUGGGAAAUGUUUUGCAGCUAUGACCAUCAAUGAGAGAUGGGCCAGAACUGUAACCUUAGAUCCAAACCCCUGCCUUUAUUGGUGUGGAGCAUCUCAAAGGGUGUGGAGCAUCUCCAGAUUCAAACCCAUAUCUUUUCUUGAUUCUGGAUUGGGUCAAAAUGGGAAGAUGCCUCUUUCUGACCUGGAUGUGGCUAAGAUCUUGCAAAAAUGGCUAUUCUGAGGGGAUUACAGCCAUUUUGGCCAAAUCACAUGAGAACAUCUUACAAGAUUUAAGCAAGGUCUACCCGCCACUCAAAUGCAAGCCCCGAUUCAGCCUCAAACGAACAGUGACCUUUAGUCCUAAAUCUAUUCACAUCUGGAUCCAGCUCUAAAUAUGGGUCUCCUUGACCUGUUACUAAAAUCACGUCAUAAAGGGGAGUUUGCACAAAAUAGUAUUCUCAACCAGCUAGAAAGAAGUUGGCUGAUGAUGGAGACUAUCCAGAGGUCAUUCUGUCACCUCCUAGAAGAUGUGGCUGGGUGGGGAGGGCACCAAGGAUGACUCUAAGAGCUCAGAAAGUUGUGAGUUUCUUUCCCCAGAUGUCUCCAUAUGGCUUGUGCCCAGCGACCUGCCCCUAUGGAUUGCAUGUCUCAGUGAGUGAUAUGUGCCUUUUCUGUCAAUCAAAAAGUAGUUUAAAAAUUGUCAAGAACAACAGAUAAAAUGACCUCAAACAAACCCAGAUGAAAGUCCUUUGUUUUUAUUUUUGGAGCACUUUGCCAGCUUGAUUCUUUCAUAUCCCAAUAUACAUUUCAGAAUGUUUUAUUUCAAUACAAAUACAUGUAUAUCAAACCUGCUGCUAUAUUUUAGUGCUAACGCUUUAAGCAAGAACAUGAACUGAACAACUCUCAAGUGUCCAGAAAAUUACAUCGCUUUUUUCCAAACUUUUAACUCUGUUUUCUCAUCUUUAUUUAGAAUGUACUUUUCUCAAAUGGAUUUACAACAUGUUUCCCUACUGUACUAGGAUUUAUAAUAAAGGGCCUGAUCCUAGGAAGUGCUGAGUACUCUCAGUUCCCAUUGACUACAGCUGAAGUUAAAGUUGCUCAGGGCACCAUGCAUGAGAUGCUUAGCACAUAGCAGGAUUUGUUUCAAAUACUAUGUGCUGGGUGGCAAUAACAUGAAAGUCUCCCUGUUUCUAAAAUUAAACUGUCUCUUUGCAACUAACUGCAGUUAGCAUUCUAGCCAUGGGCGCACAGACUGGCUUCCUGGUGCCUCCUGCAACCUGGGCCCCUCGGUUCCCAUUCCAGACAGGUUGCUCUAGGUUUUAAUCUUUACAUUAUAGGUCUAUCUGCAUCUUUACUUUGCAUUGGUAGAUCUUAUAUCUUAGGUAUCGAUCCUUGCAACUCUUUGGGGAUGGCACUAUGCAGGUGUCUACCUGAAUGCACUGAACUGCAUGACCAGAGACUUAUUCUGUAAAUGAAGCCAUCUCCCAAAAAGAAUAUCUCUGCUGUGGUUAUGAUGCCAAAUUUUAUCUUUUUACUCUGAACAGUCUCAGAGAUUCUAGGAGAACACCACUCUCUGUGAAACAACUCAGGUAGCUUUUAAUAAGUCAUAGUGCCUUUGUGUUAUUGAAAUGCAAGUGGAUUGUCUAAGUCCUGUAAUAACAAGUCUUCAAUGAGUCCAGAGGCAGCUGAUCAGCAGGCAGGGCAGGCAAGGCCUCUUCUAUUUUCCCAGGGUCUGUGCAAACCUCAAAGAGAAAAGCCAGGAGCCCCAUCCCCCAGCAGGAAGUGCCAUAAAUAACAUGUCAGUUUGUCUAUCCAUUUGUAAAUGUCACCAUCCUUCAUUGAAAAAGUCUAAUAGGGCAUUAGAGACCCUUAAUCACACACCAGUGUGAACCAUGAAAGCAUUUUCUGAGUCCUUUCACAGCACACUAUUGGUCCCCGUAAGCUUCCUUUAGUUGUUAUAACAUUUAUACUGCGGUAGUGUCCAGAGGUCCCAAUCAGGUGCAGGGUGCCAUUUUGCAACAUGCUGUACUGUAUUCUGUCCUUGCAUUCGAAUCAAGACUGGAAGUUUCCUGGCUUGAAAACCUUCAAAGUUUUUUUGCAUAUUUGCUACAUCAGAGAUGCAGGUGCAGGGUCAGCUUGCAGCAGGAAUGAAAGAGCAGAGAUUCCAGGAAAGGUAGGAAAGGGGGUGAUGGAGUAUAGAAGUGCCGUAAGCUUCCCCAGGAAAAGUUUGAGGCUUUUCAUGAUGCAACAUAGCAGGUGGAUAAAAGAGAAAAUGUCAAGGAUGAGAUAAGGCAAACAGGAAAUGGCAAAGCCUCCUGAUUCCAGACCAUCACUAUCAGAAGUUAAGAAGAUAAAUGGAAAAGACUACACUGAUGUUUUAAUGGUACCAAAAAUGAAAGGCCAGAUUCUGCCUUUAGUGAAUCAUAGAACUGGAAGGGACCUUGAGAGGUC